rnacentral:rRNA from 1 species
AGCGCAAUGGGCGAAAGCCUGACGCAGCGACGCCGCGCGAAGGAUGAAGGUCUUCGGAUUGUAAACUUCUUUUGUCGGGGGAAGAUAAAUGACGGUAUCCGAUGAAUAAGCCACGGCUAACUCUGUGCCAGCAGCCGCGGUAAGACAGAGGUGGCAAGCGUUGUUCGGAAUUACUGGGCUUAAAGGGCGCGUAGGCGGUGGAGUAAGUCUGAGGUGGAAGAUUAGGGCCUAACCCUAAAAUUGCCUUGGAAACUGCAUCACUUGAGUCAGCGAGGGGAUGGCGGAAUUCCAGGUGUAGCGGUGAAAUGCGUAGAUAUCUGGAGGAAGGCCGGUGGCGAAGGCGGCCAUCUGGCGCUGAACUGACGCUGAGGCGCGAAAGCGUGGGGAGCAAACAGGAUUAGAUACCCUGGUAGUCCACGCCCUAAACGGUGGGUACUAGGUGUAGGGCUCGCAAGGGUUCUGUGCCGUAGGGAAACCAUUAAGUACCCCGCCUGGGGAGUACGGCCGCAAGGUUG